AGUACCAGAUAUCUACAUAGAACCCAUAUAGACUCGUGUUAUCACAGUACGGAGUAGUAUUAAAUGUGUAGGUCUAUUUUUUUUCCUUUGUCUUUACUCGUUGUUACGUAUUUUUUAUGGGUAGGUAGGUAGGUAGAUAAGUAGGUAGAUAGGUAACUUUUAAACUUUGCGUAUGAUAUAAUAACGGUUGAUAAUAAUAUUAUUACAAACUCGGCUGCUCUCUUGUCAUCGGCAUUCCUCGUAUAAUAUAAUAUUGUAAUCACAUAAAUAUAUUAGAUAAUAUUAUCAAACGCAUGCAAAUAUACCCAGAACAUCUGAAUAGUAUAUUGUUUAUGGAUUUUUUACACUCGUAUUGUCGUAAUUAAAAAGUUCGAAACAACAUUAAUAUUGGAAUAAUAACAAUGUAAUCGACGUUAUAAAUAAAUUAUAUAGUUUUAACGAAAUACUGAACGUAAUAUGCGUAUUUACACAGUUGGAUAGAAAUUAAAUGUACUAUGCGACAUUACACAAAUUUGAUCUGGAUAUUUAUUUUAAUUUUGAUUUUGAAAUACGUUUUAACAAUGUUAUUGCUGUUCGUGAAUCGCAAGUUUUUUUUAUGGUUUAACUGUUACUA